GACUCAGUGUUACAUUUUUUUAAUUUUUUUUUUGUGUCAGUUCAUUGCUACGUAUCUUGAGGGAACGUGACAUUGGACCACCCGACAGUAGCCCUUAAGGGUAUCCGUCUUCUAUUUUAGAAUCAGCUCUUUAGAUUUCAAAGGUUCAAGGUUUAAUUGUAAUAUACCACUAUCACGAUUAUGUCACAUUAUUACCUCAUAAUAGGUGUGGACAGGUGUGCACAGCUCUUAUUUUUUCACUGAGUUCCUUUUAAAUGUCGGUCUGGUUUCCAACGUAUGUCCUGAAUUUCAGAAGGGGGGGCUGGUGUUGAAUGCCUCAUCGACACCAGCCCUUACUUGAACGAAUUUCCCAAGGGGGGGCUAGUGUCGGGGGUCCAAUUUCGCAUUCGCGGCCGCAAUCACAGACGAAGCUUCGUGGUGGUCUCAAGUCAGGAGACAGACGACGAAGCUUCGUGUUGGUCUCGAGUCAGGAGACAGACGACGAACGCAACCAUAGCAGCAACAGCAGCAGGAGCCCUUGUCCUCAACAGAAGUUCAAUCAACAAACCUCAUAGCAUUCACAAUAGUUCUUCAAACAGCCCGAGCGCUUGCAGUGGCAUCCCUUAUUAUGACGUCUGGGUUCUGGACCCCAACCGACACCAAUUUUAGGUUUAAAGGCGUGUGGAUUACGAUCCAGGCAAGAUCUUAUUGCACGCAAACGUAGUUCUUCAUGCUCCAAGUUAUUGGCGCAGCAGACGCAAUUACAGCCGUGGCAAAACUCGCCAUUGGCAAAACAAUCACAAUAACUUUUGAGGCACUGUGACUUGGUACAGUUGCAUGGCUUGCGAGGUUUGAGGCCAUUUGAUUCCAACACGCUUUGUGCUUUUGCUUGAGAAGCAGCCGUCGACAUUUGAGCAGACUCGGGAGAAGGCGGAGGAGCUGCUUUUGGUUGCUGUGACAAACGAGGGGUCGCACUCGAACUAGUGACUAUUGGUGAUGUGAUCGAUUCCGAAACGACAGUAGCAGCACUGGUUGUAACAGCCGAGAAGUUCGUUGUUGCUGGCGAACUAUUUGUCCCCAUUGAAUUCUUAAGAUAACAGCGCGAAACAGAAUUUGAUUAAAAAUACGUCAUAGUAUUGUAGAAGUGGGUCGAUCUAUGCUGAAAAAACGUAAAGCGAAAAGUAAUUAGGAUGCUCACUUGAGAAGAAUACUGAGCUGGAACCAUCACAAUGUUGCUUGUCAGUGAAUUCAUCGAUCCAGCUGGCAGUAUUAUACGUUGAGCUCCCUGCGGUACACUAACUGUUGAGAUUGCACCCUUUGCUUGCCCAAGCGUCUUUGUUACGGAUGGAAGGGUACCUUUGACUGAUUGCUGGGUCACUGUGCUGUUUGAUGGGUGGAUCUGCAGGGCAAGAAACAGUGGUGAUUAUGACAAUACCAAAAAUUUUUAGUUAAUCUCACUUUAAUGGAGUUUGCAGUAGUUGCGCCUAUUAGAACUUUUGAGGUUCCUGGUGCCGUGAUUAAGUUUCCCGUUCCAUUAUUUCCACCAGUUGGAUUGACGACGCGAACUAAUUGUAUCUAAGACAGGUAUAUUCUCAUUUUUAUUAUAAACUUUUACGUGAAACCAUCGAUACAACCUUGUUUCCCGCAAGCUGGAAAUGCUGCUGAGUUCCACUUUGUUCUCCUUGUGGACCCAUUGCGGGAAGGAUUCCAGCAGCUAAUGCUUGAGCCGUUGUUAGCCGUAUGUAUUGUGCUGGUUGUGUUCCACUACUUUGCCGGACUACAUACAAAAGAAAAAUUUGAAAAAUUCUAUGUAAUCGCACGUGACAUUAAAAGAUAAAUUAACGAGGAGAACGGAGAAAAAAACUCCCAAAUUGUAAUACAUCGACAUGUUUUAUGUA